rnacentral:rRNA from 1 species
UACAGAGGGUGCGAGCGUUGUCCGGAAUCACUGGGCGUAAAGGGCUCGUAGGCGGCCAACUAAGUCAGACGUGAAAUCCCUCGGCUUAACCGGGGAACUGCGUCUGAUACUGGAUGGCUUGAGUUCGGGAGAGGGAUGCGGAAUUCCAGGUGUAGCGGUGAAAUGCGUAGAUAUCUGGAGGAACACCGGUGGCGAAGGCGGCAUCCUGGACCGAUACUGACGCUGAGGAGCGAAAGCCAGGGGAGCAAACGGG